rnacentral:rRNA from 1 species
CGACCCCCUCGGUGUCGUAGCCAACGCGUUAAGUGUUCCGCCUGGGGAGUACGCACGCAAGUGUGAAACUCAAAGGAAUUGACGGGGGCCCGCACAAGCGGUGGAGUAUGUGGUUUAAUUCGAUGCAACGCGAAGAACCUUACCAGGGUUUGACAUCCUGCGAACCCCCUGGAAACGGGGGGGUGCCUUCGGGAACGCAGUGACAGGUGGUGCAUGGCUGUCGUCAGCUCGUGUCGUGAGAUGUUGGGUUAAGUCCCGCAACGAGCGCAACCCACGUCGUUAGUUGCCAGCAUUCAGUUGGGCACUCUAGCGAGACCGCCGGUGAUAAACCGGAGGAAGGUGUGGAUGACGUCAAGUCAUCAUGCCCCUUACAUCCUGGGCUACACACGUACUACAAUGCUACGGACAAAGGGUUGCAAGCUCGCGAGAGUUAGCUAAUCCCAUAAACCGUGGCUCAGUUCAGAUCGUAGGCUGCAACUCGCCUACGUGAAGGAGGAAUCGCUAGUAAUCGCAGGUCAGCAUACUGCGGUGAAUACGUUCCCGGGCCUUGUACACACCGCCCGUCACACCAUGGAAGUUGGCCACGCCCGAAGUCGUUACUCCAACCCGUAAGGGAGGAGA